rnacentral:rRNA from 1 species
AUGAACGCUGGCGGCGUGCCUAAUACAUGCAAGUCGAGCGAACAGACGAGGAGCUUGCUCCUCUGAUGUUAGCGGCGGACGGGUGAGUAACACGUGGAUAACCUACCUAUAAGACUGGGAUAACUUCGGGAAACCGGAGCUAAUGCCGGAUAACAUGUUGAACCGCAUGGUUCAACAGUGAAAGACGGUCUUGCUGUCACUUAUAGAUGGAUCCGCGCCGCAUUAGCUAGUUGGUAAGGUAACGGCUUACCAAGGCAACGAUGCGUAGCCGACCUGAGAGGGUGAUCGGCCACACUGGAACUGAGACACGGUCCAGACUCCUACGGGAGGCAGCAGUAGGGAAUCUUCCGCAAUGGGCGAAAGCCUGACGGAGCAACGCCGAGUGAGUGAAGAAGGUCUUCGGAUCGUAAAACUCUGUUAUUAGGGAAGAACAAAUGUGUAAGUAACUAUGCACGUCUUGACGGUACCUAAUCAGAAAGCCACGGCUAACUACGUG